UGUCCUACGGGGCGCAGCAGUGGGGAAUAUUGCACAAUGGGGGAAACCCUGAUGCAGCGACGCCGCGUGAGUGAAGAAGUAUUUCGGUAUGUAAAGCUCUAUCAGCAGGGAAGAAGAAAGACGGUACCUGACUAAGAAGCCCCGGCUAACUACGUGCCAGCAGCCGCGGUAAUACGUAGGGGGCAAGCGUUAUCCGGAUUUACUGGGUGUCAAGGGAGCGUAGACGGCUGUGCAAGUCUGACGUGAAAGCCCAGGGC
rnacentral:rRNA from 1 species